rnacentral:rRNA from 1 species
GACGAACGCUGGCGGCGUGCUUAACACAUGCAAGUCGAGCGGUAAGGCCCUUUCGGGGGUACGACGAGCGGCGAACGGGUGAGUAACACGUGGGUGACCUGCCCUCAGUUCUGGGAUAAGCCUGGGAAACCGGGUCUAAUACUGGAUAUGACCUCAUGACGCAUGUUGUGGGGUGGAAAGCCUUGUGCGACUGAGGAUGGGCCCGCGGCCUAUCAGCUUGUUGGUGGGGUGAUGGCCUACCAAGGCGACGACGGGUAGCCGGCCUGAGAGGGCGACCGGCCACACUGGGACUGAGACACGGCCCAGACUCCUACGGGAGGCAGCAGUGGGGAAUCUUGCGCAAUGGGCGAAAGCCUGACGCAGCGACGCCGCGUGAGGGAUGACGGCCU